CACCCGUUCCCAUACCGAACACGGAAGUUAAGCUCUUCAGCGCCGAUGGUAGUUGGGGUGUUUCCCCUGUGAGAGUAGGACGUUGCCGGGC
rnacentral:rRNA from 1 species